AGGAUGAACGCUGGCGGCGUGCUUAAUACAUGCAAGUCGAGCGGUAAGGCCCCUUCGGGGGUACACGAGCGGCGGACGGCUGAGUAACGCGUGGGAACGUACCCCAAAGUGAGGGAUAAGCACCAGAAAUGGUGUCUAAUACCGCAUGUGCUCUAAGGAGUAAAGCUCCGGCGCUUUGGGAACGGCCUGCGUUCGAUUAGCUUGUUGGUGAGGUAAUGGCUCACCAAGGCGACGAUCGAUAGCUGGUCUGAGAGGAUGACCAGCCAGACUGGGACUGAGAACGGCCCAGACUCCUACGGGAGGCAGCAGUAGGGAAUUUUCCACAAUGGACGAAAGUCUGAUGGAGCAACGCCGCGUGCAGGAUGAAGGCCUUAGGGUUGUAAACUGCUUUUAUGUAUGAAGAUUAUGACGGUAGUACAUGAAUAAGGAUCGGCUAACUCCGCGCCAGCAGCCGC
rnacentral:rRNA from 1 species